rnacentral:rRNA from 1 species
GGUGGAACGAGGGCUUAACUGUCUCCCCCUUCUAGUCAAUGAAAUUGAUCUACCCGUGCAGAAGCGGGUAUAAUAAUACAAGACGAGAAGACCCUUUGGAGCUUAAGAUAAAAGACCAAUUAUGUCAAAAGUCCUAAAUAAUAAACCAAAUAGUACUAGUCCCAAUCUUCGGUUGGGGUGACCGCGGGAGAAAAUAAAGCUCCCACGCGGACUGGGGUUCCCCUAAAACUAAGAGAAACAUCUCUAAGUCACAGAAUAUCUGACCAAAAAGAUCCGGCUACACGCCGACCCACGGACCAAGUUACCCUAGGGAUAACAGCGCAAUCCCCUUCCAGAGUCCAUAUCGACAAGGGGGUUUACGACCUCGAUGUUGGAUCAGGAC